rnacentral:tRNA from 1 species
GGCCGACUGGCGAAAUGGCAUCGCGUCUGACUACGAUCUCGGGCAUUCGACGGUACCGUAAUCAGGAGAUUGCAGGUUCGACCCCUGCGUCGGUCA